UAUAUCACGGGGGUGUAUUAGUAAUUUAACUAAUAUCAUCAAACCGUUCAAACCCUAUCGGAGUCCCUGGUUUUAUUCCGCGGCAGUUCCACCCAUAAACACACAGACCCUCUACCUUUCUUCCGGCAGCAGCCUCCGCCUCCGGCAGCUUCUUCACUUCGCCGACAAGGAGCUCAACUGAAUUUGCUCUUUUUGUGAUGGCAAAUUCACCAGAUGUGGAUGGAGAUGAUGACUUUAGUGAACUCUACAAGGAAUACACAGGCCCUCCACGAUCGACCACUGUUGUUUCACAAGAGAAGACGAAUACAAAUAAAAGGUCUCAUGCCGGUUCCGAUGAGGAGGAUGAACCUCGUGAUCCCAAUGCUGUGCCAACUGAUUUUACCAGCCGAGAAGCCAAGGUUUGGGAGGCCAAGUCAAAAGCUACAGAGAGGAAUUGGAAGAAGAGAAAAGAGGAAGAAAUGAUCUGCAAAAUAUGUGGUGAAUCAGGCCAUUUUACUCAGGGAUGCCCCUCAACGUUGGGAUCAAGUCGUAAAUCUCAAGAUUUUUUUGAAAGGGUACCAGCCAGGGAUAAACACGUGAGAGCAAUUUUCACUGAUAGAGUAAUACAGAAGAUAGAAAAGGACGUUGGUUGUAAGAUCAAGAUGGAUGAGAAAUUCAUAAUUGUUAGUGGCAAGGACAGGUUAAUUUUGUUAAAGGGAUUGGAUGCAGUCAACAAGUUAAUUAAGGAGGACGGCGAUCAAAAGGGUUCUUCUAGUUCUCAUAUGAGUAAAUCCAGGUCACCUGAUCGAAGCCCUGCUGGUUCAAGAUCACAACGUUCUGAUGUCCAUAGAUCACAUUCUGGUCCUACAAAUGCAUCACAAUUUCAACCUAGGUUUAGCAGACAGGAGAAAGUUGUUGAAAACCGUGCUCGUGAUGAUUUGCAGAAAUAUCCAAGGAGCUCGGUUCAAGCUUAUGGCAAUGACAGAGUUAGAGGUCGUUCAAGCCACUCAAAGUCUCCAGCUCAUCCACCUUAUUCUGGCAGCUCGUUUGGUUCAUAUGAUAGUUAUCAGAACAAGGGUGCAUAUGGUAGAACCGAAGGAUGGGACAAUGAGAGAAGAGGAUCCGAUUUGCAAUCUAGUCGUCAGUUCGAGUAUCCAGCUUUUCCCCAAUCUCUUGAAGAACUGGAGAUGGAGUAUAAAAGGGAAGCAACUGAACUUGGAAAGAUUCGUGAUAAAGAAGAAGAUGAAGAAAAUUAUAAACACCGUGAGACUAUAAGGGAGAUGAGAGAGAGCUACACGAAGAAAUUGACUCAUUUGAGGGGCACACAUGCAAAGCAGUGGGAUGAGUUUCUCCAACUUGAUGCCCAAAGGCGUCAGCAACAAGUGCACCAGCAAAUGGCCGCUUCAAGUUUUGGUGGUUAUAAGCAGCAUAACUAUUCUGAAUAUGAAGGUGGCUCAGUCAAUGCCCAUUACGAAGGGGCUAAUUUGGCGGCCCUCGAUUCAAGAAGCAAGUAUCAAAAUCACAUGGAGAAUUAUCCUUCAAGACCUCAUGGUAAUUUUGGGGAGUUUCAACGUCAGAGGCGCGAUGAUUACGAGAAUGCUUACAAACGAUACUAAUUUGUUAACCAGGAAGAAGUUGGUAAGUAGUCUAACCCUUCAGCCAAAUUAAAAGGAUUUUAGUCAUCUCAUCUUUUUGGUUCGGCUGUAUGAUUGGCAAUACAUAAUCUCCAUGCCGAAUUUCAUAUUACUCCAUAAAGUGCGUGGACUUGAGCCCAUGUCCAUUAAAAGGAUUCAGAUCCAUCUUGGGUAGGGCAUAAUGCUUGGGAGGAACGCCUAAUGAAAGGUAAGUAUGUAUCUUACGGUCUUGGACCAAUUAGCAUUCGUAGUAGCCUACUACCAGUUGUUUUUAUAGUUAAGCUUGAUAGUUCAUCUGGUUCAGAACUUGUUGUAAAGAGCGGCAUGCAAUGCCAUCUUGGAUUUAUUAGUCAGAUGAAGUUCUCAUGAACGGUUGAGAUUUUGAAUUGGUUAUAAAUUGAUACCUUGGCAAACUUUUCUUUCUACUGUUUUCCCUAUCUAAUUGUUGGGAACAAGCGGGAUGACUGUAUUGAAACAGUCCUUCACUGUCAUGGAAGCUCAGGAUAGUUGACCUUUACCGGUUGUUAAGUUUAAAAACUGUUUAUCACUGCUAUCUGGACUUGGGAGUGUUGAAUAGUGUACUAGUUGUGAUCCGUUAUAAAUUGGUAAUGCCACACAGUUCACCGAUUAUGUUUUA